rnacentral:rRNA from 1 species
GACGAACGCUGGCGGCGUGCUUAACACAUGCAAGUCGAACGAUGAAGCCCAGCUUGCUGGGUGGAAGAGUGGCGAACGGGUGAGUAACACGUGAGUAACCUGCCCCUGACUCUGGGAUAAGCGCUAGAAAUGGCGUCUAAUACUGGAUAUGACCUAUCACCGCAUGGUGUGUAGGUGGAAAGAUUUAUCGGUUGGGGAUGGACUCGCGGCCUAUCAGCUUGUUGGUGAGGUAAUGGCUCACCAAGGCGACGACGGGUAGCCGGCCUGAGAGGGUGACCGGCCACACUGGGACUGAGACACGGCCCAGACUCCUACGGGAGGCAGCAGUGGGGAAUAUUGCACAAUGGGCGCAAGCCUGAUGCAGCAACGCCGCGUGAGGGAUGACGGCCUUCGGGUUGUAAACCUCUUUUAGUAGGGAAGAAGCGCAAGUGACGGUACCUGCAGAAAAAGCACCGGCUAACUACGUGCCAGCAGCCGCCGUAA